UGUUAGGAGCAGUGGGCUGCCAUUAUGAACGGCACCCAGGGAGCAGUGUAGGGAACGGUGCCUUGCUCAGGGACUGAUUAAGUCUGUAGUAAAGAAUUUGUAGACUGCAGCUCAGCAAUACUUCAUUCAAAAUGGUAUUUUAACAUAUAUUUCAACAUCAAUUUGUACACAAGGGGAUGCUUAUCUGGACAGCUGGACAACCAGAUCAAUCUGUUUAGGUUUUUAAAUAGAAUGUCUAAACAUUGAAAAAUCGACAGCUUCUGAUAAUCUCAACCGAUCCACACUCUGAAUGACUGACGGUGAUAUUUGUUUCAGCUGAAUCUGUUUGUCCUAGUUCAUAUGACAGAUGUUAAUCUUUGGUUGUGUUUAAUGUUUGUCCUGAUGUGUUGUCCCUGACAGUCCACUCCUCUCCGUCCUCAGACACCAGCAGUGCAGCUCAGCGGCGCACAGUAAGUGGUGUGAUGAGCAGAGGAACCAGGGGGGGGAGGAUGGAGGCGCGCACGCUGCUCAGCCGCAGAGGCACUUUCUUUCGAGGAGGAAGGGGAGGGGCCAUGGGCAGAGGGGGCUUGGCCUGAUGAUGAUGAUGAUCCAGUUCAGUUGUGUUUAUUCUUGAUUAUUUUGUUAGUAUCUUCAUGUUGCUCUGUAGACUGUUAAUAAACUUGUAAUAAUAAAGCUGAAUAAUGAUAA